ACCCAUGGUGAGGGCACCUUCUUAAUAAGUUCUUAUACCUCUCCCAUGCAUCAUAUAAGGUCUCUAAAUCUAUUUGCACAAAGGAAGAGAUAUCAUUCCUCAACUU
rnacentral:snoRNA from 1 species